rnacentral:lncRNA from 1 species
AAGUUUAUUAUUGUUUUUUAAUUUUUGUAUUUGUUUCUAAGAGGUGAGGAGAGAUCGUUUCAGAUUUUAAUUAUCACUGCCUUCCCUAAGAAAGUACAGGACACACCUCCAGUGAAGGUAAAUGGCCAUCGGGGGUGGUCAAAGGUUGAUGAAAACUCUGCAGCCUCCCUGGAAAGAGAAGCAGGAGGCUGUCUUCAGUCACAUGUGACCUCGACCAGGCUCUGCCCAUCGUUUCAGCCCCUUGAUCCGCAUAAAGAGGGAUGAGUCCAGCCG